UCUUUUUUUGACUGCUUCAUUUCCAAACCCUAAUACACGCUCCAUCUCUCCAUCUCUCCGCCUCUCCUCUUUGCCGAUUCUCUCAGAUCAAAUCAGAUCAUUGGAUUCUUCGCCGCUCGAAACCCUGGUGCAUUUCUAUUCUUCUUUCUCACGCUUUGACAUUCUCCACAACCGUAGAAACCAAAGUUGUUCAUCCUGUUCUUCGUUCAAUAAUCCUUCAUCAGUCGUAUCUCCCCAUUAAAAGGGGCUCGCACAUGUUCUGCAGUACCCCCUGUGAAUACUCCGCCAGGGAUAGCCGAGCCACUUCCCUUUCUUUAUGAUGCUCUUGCCCUUCACCUGCUUCUCGAUUUCUCAUCCAAAACAUUUGAUUCCUUUCAAAAGGAUGUCCCUUGCAAGCGAUUUCCACAGGUAUGUUUAUCUACGCUUUUGAUUUUGAUUAUCUCUUAAUAAUUUGUAAAUACCAGAUUAUUUUUAUUGUUGUUUGUCCAUAGAAGUCUAACUAUGUUCUGGAUUGCUUUUCACCUUCUUCUCGAAUUCUAAUAAAAAUCGAUUGAAUUUCAAAACCACCCCUGUUGCAAUCGAUUUCCUCAGGUAUGUUAAUUUCGUUUUUGAUUUUUUUAUCAAUUAAUUAUGUGGAAUACCAAUGAUUUUGAUUUUGUUUAUCGCUUAUUUUCAUGAUUUAAGGUUUUUAAUCAUAUUGGGUAUUAAAGUUAUUGUGUACAUACUUGAGAUUUUGAUUUUUACAUGGCUACCUCUGUUUAGAUUAAAAAUCGAUAAAAAUUGUUGAAGAAGAUAGCACUUUAAUAAUGGCUUCCGUUAAUUUAAGUAUUAUUUGUUUUUUUACUAAUGAGAUUAGUCACCUUUACUAAGAAGGGUAUGAAGAUUGGUAUAACAAUCGCAUUAUAGAUGACGAGUGUUGUAAUCUACUUUGGAGUUUAUCUCUAACCUACUUUAGAGUUGAGUUUAUCAAUAAUUAUAUAUCUAAUUUAUGUUAUUCUUACUUUUGAUGCGUUAUUUUUGCUUUAUGUUAUUUCAAAUUGGAUAAUAGUUGAAGCAUAUGCAUUCUUUGCAUUCGAAUGUAUAUUUUUUUUGUUUGAUUCAAACAUAAGUAUCUUAAGAGAUUAAGAGAUUGUUUUGAUGUGUUAUUCAUAUGAACUUUGUCAAUUUCAUUGAUGUUUCGGUUUAGGUAAAUGCACGAAACUAAGUAUUUUUUUUUUUUCAAUUGGGGUUUUGCUUUGCAAGUUAGGGUUCAUCGUAUUUAAGGUAUUUAAGAAUGAGCUCUGAAUAAACCAAGUUUUUUUGUGCAAUAACUCAUAAUCAAAACAUCAGGUAACAAAAAAAAAUAAUAAACAAUAUAUAACAAAAAACUUAGAAAGCCUCAAACCAUAAUAGAAGCUGGAAUAGCUUAGUUGGUUAGACCAAAUUUCGGGGAUUUAGACGUGUUUUGGUUCCAGGUCAAUUUUGGAUGUUUUAAACCGCGGUUAGCUGGUUAGACCUAUAUUAUCACUCUUCUUUUUCCUUGCUAACUCAUGAAUAGGCUACAUGAAUGAUGAAACUCACUUUUUUGAUUUUGAGAUUUAUUACAGCCUUCCGUUUUAAAACAAAUCUUACUUUUCAAGAUCUAAUUUUGUUAUAUAUGUAGCGUGCAACUAUCUACAUUGUUGCUGGAUCAUUAGUGGCCUGGUCUUAACUCUUAGCAGUCUUACAAAGGUAAUUAACACAUUCUAGCUCGAACUUGCAGUCUUACGUUUCAGAAAACAUCUAAAACAUAUGCAAGUGUUUAUGCCUCAGAUACUAGAGUAAAUUCUUUAUGUAAAUGAGACUUUAAAAGCCUUUAUGUAUUUUUGUCUCUCAAAGCAAUGAUUUACAUGUAGCUGGUACUAUCAAUGUAAGUUUUUUAUGAUUUGUAGAAACUUGAUUUACCAUCAUUUAUUCAUCUUUUAGGGUUUUAAAAAAAUGUGUUGGUUCAUUUGUUUAGAUUUGUUCAUCGCUUAGGGUUUUAAAAACAUUAUUUGUGUUUUAGAUUUAUAAGAACUUCAUGUUUUCCGAUUAUAUGUCGUGAACUUGCGAUUCAUGUUUCAAUUAUGUGAGAUGAACACCAAAGACGGUGCCGGAAUACUCGUUGUUUCGAUUUGGUGAGUUUUUUUCCUAUUCGAUGAGUUAGGUUUCGGGAGUACAUUGAUUAGGUUACUUUUAACUGUUUUUGUUACGAAUUUUUAUGAAUUGAUGUUUUUGAUUGGUUAAUUAAAGGUGUCCAGUUUGUUUGGAGACAAUGCAAUCAGGCGUCAUCAAGCAAUAGCCGUAAAGGUUUCUCAAAUCUACAUAUGCCGGUCAAUACCACGUGUUCCCUUAUAGGUUUCCCAUCUUUUCACGCGUCUUCAUCUGCCCACCAUAUGUAUUGCCGCACACAUUACCGCAUCUUUCCCGACGAAGAUAUUUUAAUCUACCUACACAAAAGGUGGCAGCAAUGAAGGGAAUCCAUUGAUGAAGGAAGCUGCGGUGAUUGACCAGCAUAUGUAGUUUGAGAAACCUUAGAAUGUGAUAUUACUCUUUCAAGUCUUGCAAGCUAUAAGAAGGCUGAAGGAAAUUCCAAUGGUAGAAAGGAAAUGAUAUGCUGAUUACACGGAUCAUCAUUAUCUAGCCUGCUGGAGGACGCCGAUGACCACCGAUUUUGGCAGAGAGAUGAAGGAAUUAUGCUUCAUAUGACACAUAUUGCUUUAGCGAUUCAAUCUCAUAACAGGUAUAUCUGUGUGUUAUAAAGCAUUCUGGCGAAAGUGAUUUGGUGGAACGUUUAAUUGAGGAUCAAACUCCGCAUUAAAAUUGUUUUUGAAACUUGGCGGAGAUGAUUAAAAUUGGGCGAAGACAAGUCGGGUAAAUGUUGGAAGAUUUGGAGAGGUGGAGUGACUUUUAUGCAAUUAAAGAGACAUACAGUAUAGAAAACGAGCAUUUGAACUCUGGUAUAGAGAUAGACAAGAACGUUCUAGCAAAUCGGAUCUGGUUGAGAUCCAUGUGGGACCUGCUACAGAUCUUGAUCAUGAAUAUUUCAAUCAUAAGAAGAUGUAGGGUGAUGGUUAAUCUUUGGGUACAUGCUGAACGCAAUGAAAUUUCAAGCAAUCGCUUCACGGUAUCACCAUAUUUCCUAUUAAUUAUAUUGAUUCAUGACUUUUAAUUGUUUAACUCAAUUGAUUAUAUUGAUUUAAGGAUCCGGAAAACAAUGAAUAUUAAUUCCCAUAAUGCAAGGGUUAGUUUUCAUUUGACAAAUCGGUUGUAGACGAAAUUCAAUCUAAAGUUAGCAGUUGUACAGAAAGCAAUGACCAGAGUACACUUCCUGACAAAAUAGACGUCGUCUGUACGGACGUUGAAGGCAUUUUCUAUCCAAAUCUUCACUGAUUCAGUGUAAGUGUGGUUCAUGUGGGACCAGGAAGCAAACUCCAUCCGAAUGGGAACGACAUACUGGUUCCAGAGCAAAAAAAGUGGAAAGUCAGCAUUAAAGUCAAAGAUUCGAUGUUACCGCCAGAAAAAUACGUUUGUUUUUCAUCUCAUCUACUUUGAUUAAACUUGCAUAUUAUAAAAUUGGUUAUUACGCUAAGGCUCUUUUCGAAUCAACUAGAUGAACAACAACUGUUUUCGUUUAUUCAAGAGAAGUAUGAAUCUGUUUAUGCAAAGUGGACAACCGAACGAUGUGCAAUUUGUAGAUGGGAUGAAGAUUAUGAUGAUAACAAAAUCAUUAUCUACAACAGAUGUCAAAUCCAUGUUCAUCAAGAAUGCUAUGGAGUUAGAGAUAUGAAUGAUUUCACAUCUUGGGUUUGUCAGGCGUGUGAAACACCCGAGGUUGAGCGAUAAUGUUGCCUUUGCCCUGUAAAAGGUGGUGCAUUGAAGCCGACUAAUAUUGAUACAUUGUGGGUCCAUGUAAUAUGAGCGUGGUUUCGACCGGAGGUUGCUUUUCUAAGCGGUGAAAAGAUGGAACCUGCAGUUGGGCUUUUACGGAUUCCACCCGAUUCAUUUGUUAAGGCAAUAUAAGAGGCGUACAGUAUAGAAAACGAGCAUUUGAAUUCUGGAUAUAGAGAUAGACAAGAACGUUCUAGCGAAUCGGAUCUGGUUGAGAUCCAUGUGGGACCUGCUACAGAUCUUGAUCAUGAAUAUUUCAAUCAUAAGAAGAUGUAAUGUGAUGGUUGUAAUCUUUGGGUACAUGUUUAAUACAAUGAAAUUUCAAGCAAUCACUUCACGGAUCCGGAAAACAAUGAAUAUUACUUCCCAGAAUGCAAGGGUCAGUUUUCAUUUGACCAAUCGGUUGUAGACGAAAGUCAAUCUAAAGUCAGCAGUUGUACAGAAAGCAAUGACCAGAUUACACUUCCUGACAAAAUAGUUGUCGUCUGUACGGACGUUGAAAGCAUUUACUAUCCAAAUCUUCAUCUGAUUCAGUGUAAGUGUGGUUCAUGUGGGACCAGGAAGCAAACUCCAUCCAAAUGGGAACGGCAUACUGGUUCCAGAGCAAAUGAAAACUGUUGAAGAAGAUAGCACUUUAAUAAUGGCUUCCGUUAAUUUAAGUAUUAUUUGUUUUUUUACUAAUGAGAUUAGUCACCUUUACUAAGAAGGGUAUGAAGAUUGGUAUAACAAUCGCAUUAUAGAUGACGAGUGUUGUAAUCUACUUUGGAGUUUAUCUCUAACCUACUUUAGAGUUGAGUUUAUCAAUAAUUAUAUAUCUAAUUUAUGUUAUUCUUACUUUUGAUGCGUUAUUUUUGCUUUAUGUUAUUUCAAAUUGGAUAAUAGUUGAAGCAUAUGCAUUCUUUGCAUUCGAAUGUAUAUUUUUUUUGUUUGAUUCAAACAUAAGUAUCUUAAGAGAUUAAGAGAUUGUUUUGAUGUGUUAUUCCUAUGAACUUUGUCAAUUUCAUUGAUGUUUCGGUUUAGGUAAAUGCACAAAACUAAGUAUUUUUUUUUUCAAUUGGGGUUUUGCUUUGCAAGUUAGGGUUCAUCGUAUUUAAGGUAUUUAAGGAUGAGCUCUGAAUAAACCAAGUUUUUUUGUGCAAUAACUCAUAAUCAAAACAUCAGGUAACAAAAAAAAUAAUAAACAAUAUAUAACAAAAAACUUAGAAAGCCUCAAACCAUAAUAGAAGCUGGAAUAGCUUAGUUGGUUAGACCAAAUUUCGGGGAUUUAGACGUGUUUUGGUUCCAGGUCAAUUUUGGAUGUUUUAGACCGCGGUUAGCUGGUUAGACCUAUAUUAUCACUCUUCUUUUUCCUUGCUAACUCAUGAAUAGGCUACAUGAAUGAUGAAACUCACUUUUUUGAUUUUGAGAUUUAUUACAGCCUUCCGUUUUAAAACAAAUCUUACUUUUCAAGAUCUAAUUUUGUUAUAUAUGUAGCGUGCAACUAUCUACAUUGUUGCUGGAUCAUUAGUGGCCUGGUCUUAACUCUUAGCAGUCUUACAAAGGUAAUUAACACAUUCUAGCUCGAACUUGCAGUCUUACGUUUCAGAAAACAUCUAAAACAUAUGCAAGUGUUUAUGCCUCAGAUACUAGAGUAAAUUCUUUAUGUAAAUGAGACUUUAAAAGCCUUUAUGUAUUUUUGUCUCUCAAAGUAAUGAUUUACAUGUAGCUGGUACUAUCAAUGUAAGUUUUUUAUGAUUUGUAAAAACUUGAUUUACCAUCAUUUAUUCAUCUUUUAGGGUUUUAAAAAAAUGUGUUGGUUCAUUUGUUUAGAUUUGUUCAUCGCUUAGGGUUUUAAAAACGUUAUUUGUGUUUUACAUUUAUAAGAACUUCAUGUUUUCCGAUUAUAUGUCGUGAACUUGCGAUUCAUGUUUCAAUUAUGUGAGAUGAACACCAAAGACGGUGCCGGAAUACUCGUUGUUUCGAUUUGGUGAGUUUUUUUCCUAUUCGAUGAGUUAGGUUUCGGGAGUACAUUGAUUAGGUUACUUUUAACUGUUUUUGUUACGAAUUUUUAUGAAUUGAUGUUUUUGAUUGGUUAAUUAAAGGUGUCCAGUUGAAAUGAGCGUUUGUUUGGAGACAAUGCAAUCAGGCGUCAUCAAGCAAUAGCCGUAAAGAAAGGAAAUGAUAUGCUGAUUACACGGAUCAUCAUUAUCUAGCCUGCUGGAGGACGCCGAUGACCACCGAUUUUGGCAGAGAGAUGAAGGAAUUAUGCUUCAUAUGACACAUAUUGCUUUAGCGAUUCAAUCUCAUAACUUGUCUAAUUCAUUUUUUUCAUCCAUCCUACUUUGAAACAGCUGGUUCAUCUUAUUAUUUUUUUAAAUCGGGGAUUCAAUCUUAUUAGGGUUAUUCAAUCUGGUGAGUUUAACUUAAAAUUACCUGUUUCUUUUUAAAC